GAGUAUGUCUGGGAACUGCCUGAUGGAGGGGGAUAACUACUGGAAACGGUAGCUAAUACCGCAUAACGUCGCAAGACCAAAGAGGGGGACCUUCGGGCCUCUUGCCAUCGGAUGUGCCCAGAUGGGAUUAGCUAGUAGGUGGGGUAACGGCUCACCUAGGCGACGAUCCCUAGCUGGUCUGAGAGGAUGACCAGCCACACUGGAACUGAGACACGGUCCAGACUCCUACGGGAGGCAGCAGUGGGGAAUAUUGCACAAUGGGCGCAAGCCUGAUGCAGCCAUGCCGCGUGUAUGAAGAAGGCCUUCGGGUUGUAAAGUACUUUCAGCGGGGAGGAAGGGAGUAAAGUUAAUACCUUUGCUCAUUGACGUUACCCGCAGAAGAAGCACCGGCUAACUCCGUGCCAGCAGCCGCGGUAAUACGGAGGGUGCAAGCGUUAAUCGGAAUUACUGGGCGUAAAGCGCACGCAGGCGGUUUGUUAAGUCAGAUGUGAAAUC
rnacentral:rRNA from 1 species